UUCGAAAUACUUUUCUAGCUUAUAUUUUGCCAGUUUUAUAACGACUUUAUAAAAUUUAAAUAUAUUUUUAAAAGUGUCAACUGAGGUCAUUUUACCCGUGGAUUCAGCGUUCGUUGCCCUUUAUUUUUUGUUGUCUUUGCCGUGGAUUUAUUUAUUGUUGUACUGUUUUCUGGGCCAUAAACAUUCGACUAUGCAAGAAGCACAAUAAAUAAGAACAUGAGAAACGUGGCUACAGAAAGAGAAAUUCCAGUCACUUGGGGUAUUUCCAUUUUUGAAUAUUACAUUUUCUGUGCCAUUGUAUUCUUUAGUUUUGAAUAAGUUUUUUUUUAUUGUAUCGCAACAACAUUUGCUCUUUAAUAAUUUUCAAAGAUAAAGCAAUUUCAUUGCUUCCAGGUGAUUUUCUUUUUAGUUUUUAGUAUAGUGAACGGGUGUUUUUCCCAGUGUAUACAGCUUCUACACAUAAAUUUAGUCCAGGUAGGGAUAGGUGGGCAGUUCCUCAUCCGCCCGAUCCACUACUGGCCGCACUUGCAGCGUCCGCCAAAGUUUCCGCUUGCAUGUCUCCGGCUUGUCCAGUUUCCCGCGGAACUUUUGCAGAUCACUGUACGCCGGCGGCGGCGGAUUCCGGAGGAGACCACCUCGAUUGCGACGCAGUGCUCUGCGCACGGGCAUCCUGAUCGGCGUCAGCCAGCUCAGCUGCUCCAGGCGGCGUUUGUGGCGCUGCCGGAGUGUUCGCGAGGCGCAGUACGGACGGACGGUGAUGUAGAAGAAGAUCUCGAUCACCGAAAAAAUGCUGAAGCCCAUGAAAAGUCCCAAAAGGCCGCCCGUAUUAGCUGGAAAUUUAAAAGAUAAGAUAUAAUUAAGAUUAGUUACAUUUCUUAGUUUUGAACUCUUACACAAGAAUUCGGUAAAGCCAAACAUCUCGGACUUGGUGGUGCUGCGAAAUAUGUUGGUCAUGUAGUAGAAGUGCAAUAUCGAAAUCUCGCUGGCAUUGCUAUAUGGCCCGUGGAAGAUAUAUUCGGGUAGAUUCUCGCCGGCCUGAAAUCGUGGAUCCGAAACGAUCGAAGCCGUUGAAAGUGUGGCCCUGUAUGUUAGCUCGAAGCAACCCGGCCAGCAGUUCUCGCAGGACAGAUUCGUCAGCGAUGACUCAAUCUCGGUUUGCACCCGAUCCGUGCACUGAUUAUCGUUGGGUCCGCACACCCUGGCCAACGGAUCGAUCCGGGGCAGAUAGUACAGCACACAGCUGCACUCGCGUAGCAGCAACUUCGCCUCGCAUUCCAGCUCGCAGUUCUUACGCGAAUAUGUCCGAUAGUAGGCCAGGUCAUUCUCAUCGGAGAAGAGGCAGCGACGCACCGAUUUCUUAAUUGACCGUAUCGUGGGCAGGGCAUCCUCAUAGACUGGUUCGAUGGGUAUCCGUGCCUCGCGUCCCGCGGUCACAACGAAGCCAUAGUUGCUCACUUUUGGCAGCUCGGCGGGAUUGUGCACAAGAACCUUCAAAGCGGAUUUAUACAAUCAGUAGAAGUAUAUAGUUGACUAAAUACCAUGCAUCCCACCUUGAAACCAACACUCAUCGACUUGGUGCAGUAAUACUCCGCUAUGGAGGCGUUCAGCACGACGGUGAGACCCAUGCGGAUGCCCGUGCCCCCCGAGGUGCGCGGAAAGUAGAACUCCGGCAAAUUGCGGGCAUAACCCUUCUCUGGUGUCCAAUCGAUGAGCUCAUAACGGGUAUUCGGAUGAGCCGUCUCCAGCCGCACAUCGUCACUGUAGUUCCGUAUAAGAUACGACGGAUGCAGGGCAUUGAAGUUGCAGCACAGCCCAUCGUCCGUCAGUAUGGAGGUGAAGAGCCAGGAGCAGUCCUCCUCGCGCGAUCCGAAGCUGCAGUACAGGAGCAUUUUCUCGCACGGCUGGGCCACGUCCACCAGGAUCGCCUUGAAGUACUUCCAGGUGCCGAUGUACGAGAUGGUCGUGUCCCCGCCCUGGUCACACAGACCCAUCAGCAGCGAGAAAUUCGUGCUGGUCCGUCCAAUGCGAUCCACUUUGCUUAGCAGCGCCUGGUUGAGAUUACAGAUCGUGAUCGCCGGAAAUGGCAUGUUGCUGGUCAGCUUUUGCUUGGCACUGGUCGAAAUGAUUAUGGGCGAAGCACUCCACUUUACGUACACGUUGGAUAUGAAGAACACGGAAAGGAUCACCACCAGCACAAAGGCAAGACCAAAAAAGAUGCUGAAAGGCGAUAUAAAAUAUGAAUUUGUCCGCGAUCUCUGCGAUAGGCUGAUCGAUUCGGCUACCUUGCUUACGUACCGUUCCGGAAUGGUGAUGCUCUCUUCGGCGAUGUACUUUAAUCCAUGGAGGGUGCUGUUCUUGAGAUAGUAGACCACACUCCUCUUAAUGGCCGCCCUGCUACAGAUGGUAUUCUCAUCGUCAUCCGACUCGGAGUCCUUUUUGCACCCGGAGGAGCCACUUUGGCGCCGCCUGCUUUCCGUCAACGUCCUCAUAAUGCACUACGUCCGCACUUCUUUGAAUCUCCGCUAUUUAUAGGUCACUUUCUGACUGCACUUUUAGGUGCAAUUCCAUGGCGGUCAUCAGCUUUAAUCAUAUUGAACCAAGGCAAACACGGUCGUCCAUUUGCAGUGAUAACUGCCAAAUUGAUUUUAGCCACCCCCUUGCCAUCCUCCACGUAUUUUGAAAAUCAAGUGGAUGGCCAGAAAAUAUGAUUACAUCGUGGCAAAUAAACUUUACACCUGAAAGUAAACAU
ensembl:ncRNA asRNA:CR44053 antisense RNA:CR44053